rnacentral:rRNA from 1 species
CGGGGAGGUUUGGCACCUCGAUGUCGGCUCAUCACAUCCUGGGGCUGUAGUAGGUCCCAAGGGUUGGGCUGUUCGCCCAUUAAAGUGGUACGCGAGCUGGGUUCAGAACGUCGUGAGACAGUUCGGUCCCUAUCCGUCGCAGGCGUAGGAAAUUUGAGAAGACCUGUCCUUAGUACGAGAGGACCGGGAUGGACGUACCUCUGGUGUACCAGUUGUUCUGCCAAGGGCAUGGCUGGGUAGCUAUGUACGGAAUGGAUAAGCGCUGAAAGCAUCUAAGCGCGAAGCCAACUUCAAGAUAAGAUUUCCCACCGCAAGGGUAAGACCCCAGAAAGACUAUCUGGUUG